UACGUAGGCAGCGAGCGUUGUUCGGAUUUACUGGGCGUAAAGGGUGUGUAGGCGGUUCUUUAAGUUUGGUGUGAAAUCUCCCGGCUCAACCGGGAGGGUGCGCCGAAUACUGAGGGACUAGAGUAUGGGAUGGGAAAGUGGAAUUCCUGGUGUAGCGGUGAAAUGCGUAGAUAUCAGGAGGAACACCUGUGGUGUAGACGGCUUUCUGGACCAUAACUGACGCUGAGACACGAAAGCGUGGGUAGCAAACAGG
rnacentral:rRNA from 1 species